CGUAGGAGACGAGCGUUAUCCGGAUUUACUGGGCGUAAAGCGUGUGCAGGCGGUUCGGCAAGUUGGAUGUGAAAUCUCCCGGCUCAACUGGGAGGGGUCGUUCAAAACUACCGAACUUGAGGUCAUCAGAGGAAGGUGGAAUUCCGGGUGUAGUGGCGAAAUGCGUAGAUAUCCGGAGGAACACCAGUGGCGAAGGCGGCCUUCUGGGAUGAUCCUGACGCUCAGACACGAAAGCUAGGGGAGCGAACGGGAUUAGAGACCCCGGUAGUCCUAGCUGUAAACGAUGUAGACUUGGCGUCGGAGGGUUCAAAACCUUCGGUGUCGAAGCUAACGCGAUAAGUCUACCGCCUGGGGACUACGGCCGCAAGGUUA
rnacentral:rRNA from 1 species